rnacentral:lncRNA from 10 species
UUUGAAACUUAGAUGGAACUAUUGGGACUAGAAGCUAUCUUUACAGACAUGGGCCCAUGGCUGCCUGCAGACAAUUUGGUACCUCAUGAGGACAACCUGUCCCAGGGUGAGGCCAAUACAGAGGAGAUCCAAACUGGGAUAUGAUCAAGGAGCAUUUGAGUGGCUGGAGCUAGCCAUGUCUGAAGCUGACAUAACUUGAGGAUCCCACAAUUGGACAAGCUUCCCCUUGGAGCCUACAUCCACACCUGAUUAUCAGCAGGGACUCGGGCUGUGAUGAGAAGCAGGGGUGGCGUCCUGGGCCCAGAGGUCUGUUCUGGCCAAAAAGAGAUGAGUCUUUCCCUGCACAGGCUAGAACAGCUGCUGUCCCCUCCUCCAGCACUGAAACCCUGGUUCCCUCCAGCCUUCAUUUUGGGCUGAAGGCCAAAUGAUUUCCUGUGUUUUCUUUGUUUAUCAGCUCUCUAUUAUCAUGAUGGCAAGAGCCACCCACUCAAUAAAGCAAAGUAAACAAACUCCCACAAAC